GACGUAGGAGGCGAGCGUUGUCCGGAUUCAUUGGGCGUAAAGAGCACGCAGGCGGUUUGGCAAGUCGGACGUGAAAAUCCGGGGCUCAACCCCGGACCUGCAUCCGAAACUGCCCGACUAGAGGUAGGUAGGGGAGAUCGGAAUUCCUGGUGUAGCGGUGAAAUGCGCAGAUAUCAGGAAGAACACCAAUGGCGAAGGCAGCUCUCUGGGACGGUACUGACGCUGAGACGCGAAAGCGUGGGGAGCGAACAGG
rnacentral:rRNA from 1 species